rnacentral:rRNA from 1 species
AAGGCAGCAGUUGGUAAUAUUGCACAAUGGGCGCAAGCCUGAGGCAGCAACGCCGCGUGAGGGACGACGGCCUUCGGGUUGUAAACCUCUGUUGGCAGGGAAGAAGCGAAAGUGACGGUACCUGCAGAGAAAGCACCGGCGAACUACGUGCCAGCAGCCGCGGUAAUACGUAGGGUGCAAGCGUUGUCCGGAAUUAUUGGGCGUAAAGAGCUCGUAGGCGGUUCGUCGCGUCUGCUGUGAAAACCCGAGGCUCAACCUCGGGCCUGCAGUGGGUACGGGCGGACUAGAGUGCGGUAGGGGAGAUUGGAAUUCCUGGUGUAGCGGUGGAAUGCGCAGAUAUCAGGAGGAACACCGAUGGCGAAGGCAGAUCUCUGGGCCGUAACUGACGCUGAGGAGCGAAAGCAUGGGGAGCGUACAGGAUUAGAUACCCUGGUAGUCCAUGCCGUAAACGUUGGGAACUAGAUGUGGGGACCAUUCCACGGUCUCCGUGUCGCAGCUAACGCAUUAAGUUCCCCGCCUGGGGAGUACGGCCGCAAGGCGUAAAACUCAAAGGAAUGAC